GUUAAUGUAGCUUAAUUUAAAAAGUAAGGCACUGAAAAUGCCUAGAUGAGCUAGCAUGCUCCAUAAACA
rnacentral:tRNA from 3 species